UCAAUAAAUGAGAUAGAGAAGCAAUGGAAUAGAAAAUUCAAAUGCAUAUGCGAAGGGAGUUGAUGAUAAACAUGGAAUUUCAGAUUGCGGUGAAAAGAAUUUUUCAAUAGUAUUAGGACCACACUUGAGUAGCCAUUUGGAGAAAUUAAAAAAAGGCCUUUAGCAUCUGGAGCCCAGGGGACAGGGAGGAGAGGCAGCCGAAGAGCCCUGCCCAGGGAGGCAGAAGCUGGAGUUGUUCAGGGGGAUCCUGGGAGUGGGCUGAGUGCCGGGAGGGGCCAUGCCUGUGGCUACAGACACAGCUGAUGUGAAUUACAAGCGAGGACAGUUGGACCAGCGACCCAGAGAAAAAAGAUCCUCUUUUUCAAAGAGCCAGGAGGGAAAUAGCUGAGGCUGGGACUGAGAAGGAAAGGAAGGGAGGUCUAGCCAGAAAGGACAGUGGGACUGAGGACCCAAUGGUAAGAGAGGGAGCCUGCCAGCCCCGGCUUGGUUCCAGGCCCGACAGUGAGGGAGCCUGCAGCUUCCUGGUGCCUGGUCCUCACCCUGUGGUAAAGGCCUCUGAACAGCUGACUGUGGGUGUGGCCCUGAGGAGAACCCCAGGGAAGGAGCUGGAAGGAGUAAGAGCCAGGAGAGAUUAUGGGCCCAAGGAGACCCUCUCCCUUCUUCUCUGUGGAAUGACAGGCUGUGGCAGAGACAGGAGAGGACAGUGGUCAAGAGCUCAAAUACAAUCGGACAGAACCGGCUGUUCCUCCAGUGCAGGAGGAGUUGUGUGGCCUUGGGCAAGUUUCUCAACCUCUCUGAGCCAGUUUCCUCAUCCCUUGAGUCUGAUCCCAAAAACCCCACAGUAUUAAUCACACUGUCCCCUGGGGCCAUCUUCACCGCCAGGACCUGGCAGAGAGAAGCCAAGAGGAUUAAGGCAGGACAGUCACAGACAGAAGCCCCCUGGCCACGGAUGGGCCCUGGAGGGCAGGAUCCUGAACUGGCUUGAAGUCUCCCACCCCCUUGAACAAAGGAGAGGAGGCCCCUGAGUUAGAAGCACAGCUGGGAUGGAUUAUAGGUCUCGGGACUCCUGCUGCAGUGCUCCCUCCACAAUAGGUCCUCAGGGAAUCUGUGCUUUUCAGAUACAGGCCCCAGGAGACCAGCCUUUCCCUCUUGGCUUUACCACCAGAAUAUCCAGAAUAAGUAAAUCCAUAGAGACAGAAGGUAGAUUGGUGGUUGCCUGAGCUGGAGAAAGGUGGGAAUGGGGAGCAACUGCUUAAUGGGAAGGGGGUUUCCUUUUGGGGUGAUAAUGUUGGAACUAGAUAGAGGUGGCAGUUUCACACAUUGUUAAUGUGCUAAAUGCCACUGAAUUUUUCACUUUAAAAUGGUUAAUUUUCUGUUACAUGAAUUUCACCCCAAUUUAAAAUAAGGGUACCUGUAGUUAAGAGAUUAAAGGGAGAAGAGUGGGUAAGUGCC
rnacentral:lncRNA from 1 species